AUGUACAUUCAUACAACAUAGUGUUAAUGCACCGGAUCCCAUUAGAACUCCACAAUUUAUCAUGAUCAUGCUAGAGUAGUACUGGGAUGGGUGACCACUCGGGAAGUCCUAGUGUUUUACAUU
rnacentral:rRNA from 1 species